rnacentral:rRNA from 1 species
UACGAAGGGGGCUAGCGUUGCUCGGAAUCACUGGGCGUAAAGCGCACGUAGGCGGCUUUUUAAGUCAGGGGUGAAAUCCUGGAGCUCAACUCCAGAACUGCCUUUGAUACUGAGAAGCUUGAGUCCGGGAGAGGUGAGUGGAACUGCGAGUGUAGAGGUGAAAUUCGUAGAUAUUCGCAAGAACACCAGUGGCGAAGGCGGCUCACUGGCACGGUACUGACGCUGAGGUGCGAAAGCGUGGGGAGCAAACAGG